CCCUUAGAUGUUCUGGGCCGCACGCGCGCUACACUGAUGCAUUCAACGAGUUUCUUCCUGGUCCGAGAGGAAUGGGUAACCUUUUGAAAGUGCAUCGUGAUAGGGAUAGACUAUUGCAAUUAUUGGUCUUCAACGAGGAAUUCCUAGUAGACGUAGUUCAUCAGACUGCAUCGAUUACGUCCCUGCCCUUUGUACACACCGCCCGUCGCACCUACCGAUUGAAUGGUCCGGUGAAGCCUCCGGAUUGGCGCGCACCUCGGUGCCGCCGAGAAGUUGGCUAAACCUUACCAUUUAGAGGAAGGUGAAGUCGUAACA
rnacentral:rRNA from 1 species